rnacentral:lncRNA from 1 species
UUGGCACCUCCUUGAGUCCAAUUUGAGGGAUAACCAGCCCUAACUAAACACAUACUAUCUGGUACUAAGCUUAAAGAUGUUUGAGAAAAUUACAAAAAUCUUUCUGAGAUUAGGGGUAAAUUUCUCUUACACCUAAUAGUUUGAAAAACUUACGCUUACCCCCUUGAGGUUUAUUUAUAUCUAACAUUUUAAUCCAUAAUUUGACAGAAAGUUAGUCAAACCAUUAACCUUAAAUAGGACCAAAUACCACAUCAGAAAAAUUUUGAGAAAUGACCAAAAUAAUCUUAAGCGACAUAACAACCAUUCAAGGACAGAAGAAAAUGCAUGCAUCCUCCUCCUUCCCAAGGGCAAUUUCAACUUUUCACAUGAGGUAAACUGUUUUACUAACGCCAUUAAUUUAAUUGGGUGUAAGUGUAGCUUUUACAAACUAUGGGGUGUCAGUGUACCUCAAGGGGGUUUUUGUAAGUUUUUUACACUUUUCUUUUCUGCUUAAAGCUGUGUCAGCUGGUACCAUAUAUUGGUAUGUUGUACCUACCAUAUUGGCCAAUGAUCCGUGCAGCCUCUUACCUCUAUUU